GGAAACAAGGGGAUUUGGAGGUCACUGGAGUGGGAGCCAGCAGGAAAUGGAGGGAGGAACUGAGCGUCAGAAGCAGCUGAUAGAUUCAUUACUUUUAUUUUCUUAAGGUAUGAAACCUCCAGAUACUUCUGAUGCUGGGUCUUUCAGAUGUCGCUGGUCCCCCUGUGGGCAGCACUUGGCCCCAGCUCCUGAAGUGCCAGCGCCUUCUUUCAGGGGGACAGAGUACAGAAGAUCCAUUCCUACCUCCUGCUCCAGCCUUCCUGCUCCCUCCAGACAGUGCAUCCCAUGGAGACCCUGGAGCAAAUUUCUGCAUUCAGGAGACUGCUGGUUGCUUGUGUAUAGCCCCAUCAUCACCAAGCAAAGACAGUCACUGCUAACACCAUCUUCCUGAACUGAUGUUUUUGGAGGGCUUUAAUACUAAAAAUUGAUCAUAUUGGAAAGAAGUGUAUGAAAUAAAAUAUUGCCUAUAUGUGAUAAAUAAUAAAUAAAGAGAAC
rnacentral:lncRNA from 1 species